rnacentral:rRNA from 1 species
UACGAAGGGGGCUAGCGUUGUUCGGAAUUACUGGGCGUAAAGGGCGCGUAGGCGGUGUGUCAAGUCAGGCGUGAAAGCCCCGGGCUCAACCUGGGAACAGCGCUUGAGUCUGGCACGCUCGAGUUCGGGAGAGGAUGGUGGAAUUCCCAGUGUAGAGGUGAAAUUCGUAGAUAUUGGGAAGAACACCGAUGGCGAAGGCAGCCAUCUGGACCGACACUGACGCUGAGGCGCGAAAGCGUGGGGAGCAAACAGG